CCCAUUGGCUACAUCAUUCUGUCAGUCAUCUGUGCGCUCCUACUCCUCUGCAUUCCCUGUUUCAUCUUCUGGAAGGUAUCCUCAGUCACCGUGACGACCACGCUGAAGUCGCCUCAGCUAGUUUUCGUCUUUGUUUUGUGUUCACAUGUAAAAUGUGUGUGUGUGCAGCUUGGUUUCUUCAGGCGAACUCUCCCCAAAGAUGAAGACGAUGAUGAGGAUGAGCAGUGUUUGUCUGAAGGUCUUAUGACUGAAUAACACCGAGUGUCACAUGAUCACUGAUGAAGCGGGAGGUGCUCUAAUUAUUGAUCGACAUCUUUAUAAAUGUCUGCACUGCAACAUGUUUAUCAAUAAAGUUCACUUUCAGUAAAA